rnacentral:lncRNA from 1 species
ACAAUUAAUAAUUAUGAAAUAGAACCUUAUUACGCAACUUACAAUUCCCAAAUCUGGUAGUACAAGUCAUAAGCUCUACUGAAUUUAAUAGGAAAAUUCCUAAAUACAACUAUUUGAAAUGGAAGUUAAACAGUACAAAUACAAAAUUAGAGGGUGCUCUGAGGCCUGCGAACAUGACGACAAGUUUACCUUAAGUCUCCACAGCUCGACCAGCCAUCUAAUAAUCAACAACAACCGUGGCACCUGGAUCUGCACAAAAAUGUGCAGAAGCAUAGUAUGAGUACACCACAGCGGUACCCAGUAAGUAUCAAGACUAACCUCGGUGAAGUAGUGCCGAGGGACAGCCAAGACACCUACUGGACUAAACAUCCUGAACAAAUGUGAAGGUGAACUAACAGAGAAGCAAUAUUAAUAUAAAGCUAAGCAGGCUAAGAAACACAAAACAAUUCUUGCAAUGAUACACUAAUAACAAAAAUAUUUAACGGGAAGCAGCCAAGUAGUAAUGCCAUAGAGUAAGAUGGACACAGUCUAAGUCUGGUGAAACUAAAUAAAGAAAACCCAGUAACAACUCAAUAAGAAUAACCGCUUCACGCCAUAUAUGUUCGAGCAUUUCCACGAGGUACCGAACCUCAAAAUCACAGCUCACGGGUCCCGAUUCUUGAACCGUAAUUAGUUGGCAUCUUGUGCCCACAUUACAAUUCAUAAACGCAUGGACGACUCACGUUCCAAGAGAACAACUCUCACACAGAAGGCAAAUAGAUGAGAGUACAUGUAAUGGUCAACAACAUGAGGAUUCCUCUUCUUAAAUCGAUAGGGUGAUUUAACUACGUGUAUGCAUGUAAAAGUGUGCUACCACAAUUCAACUCAACCGAUAAGAGUAGAGACAAUGAAUGGCAUAUAAGAAACAGUCACCACAAAAUGUAUAAAGUAAUAAAGGCAGUAAUGAAGUUGAAACAAUGACUAGCACAACAAAAUUAGCUACACAGAGCUGAGCAAAUAAUACAACACGAAGAAGGAUAAUUAAUAGUAUGCUAAGAAAACAACAAUCAAAGACAAGUGCACAGAAAAAGGGGAAAUGAAAAUAGAGUUCUUCCGAGGUACCGCCUCAUAGUUUCAAAUCGUAAAUGAAUCACAAAGGCAUAGCAAAAACCUCGUGCAAACAAUAACAAUUGCAUGGCAGAAACCCCGUGCAAACAAUAACAACCGCACGACAGAAACCUCGUGCAACGAUAACGACCGCACGAUAAAAACUUUGUGCCACAAUAACAUCCGCACGGCAGAAACCUAGUGCCAUAAUAACAUCCGCACGGUAGGAACCUCGUGCCACAAUAACAUCCGCACUUCAAAAACCUCUUGCCACAAUAACAUCCGCACGGCAGAAACCUCGUGCCAUACAACACUGAAUACCACAACAACAACGACAAUAACACAAGAAUACAAUAAGUAAUUCAACUCAGGAUCUCUAUAACACAAAAAUACGGAAGAACGAACUUACAAGGAAAGACACAACAAGAGAUAAUGGUGCUACAUAGCAAUAGCUCAACAAGGAAGAGAUAUUGUAUAGCAAUGAUCCCACAUAAGUACAAUUAAACGAUAAGAGGGAUAACAUGAAUCAAUGACUCCAAUUAAGGGUAAGUUUACAAUGAUAAGGGAUAACAAAUCUUCACUUAGGGUAAAGCAAUUACAGAAGAGAUUCAGCAAAUUCAAUUAAGGAUAAGCAGAUUAUGGAAAAGAUAAUAAUAACUUCAGUCAAGUGAUAGCAUAGCAAUAAAAGAGGCAACAACUUCAGUUAAGGCACAUAAGAGUAUAAUCGACAUUAAUGGUAGAACAUAAAGCAAUUAAUUCCAAUUAAGGCACGUAAGGGUGAAAUUAGUAAAUGAAGAAUUUAGCAUGACAAAACAACUUCCUAUUUAAUGGACAUAAGAACCUAAAAGCACUAGACAGUCAAAUUUCCACAAAUAAGUUCGGGCACGUACUCGUCACCUCGCGUACUCGGCCUUCACAUGACACAAUUAGCACAAAAGACUCAAAUCCUAAGAAGUAGUUCCCCCCCCCCCCACAAAGUUAGGCAAGAUACUUAUCUCAAAGAAGCUAGAACAUUACUCCAAAAUGACCUUCUCGCGUGAAACAACCUUCGAACAGCUUAAAUCUAACGAAAAUUAUUUCAAUUCAUAAAUAAAACUCAUAGAAAAUAAUUCCGGAUAAUAAAGCUUCAAUCUUUAACAAGAACUAAAAGUCAACCACUGGGACCGCAACUGGGAACCCGACCAAAAUUAUAAAAUUCGAACACUCAUUCGAUAACGAGUCCAACCAUACAAGAAUUUCCAAAUUCCGAUAUCAAUUCGUCUUUCAAAUCAUCAUUUUACAUUUUGAAAGAUUUCUACAAAUUUUUCCACACUAAUUAAAUUAUGAGAAUAAUAAUGGAUUCAUGAAAUAUAACAAUAUUCGGGUAGAGAACAUUUACCCCAAUGAGUUUCUUGAAAAACCCUUGAAAAAUCUCCCAAAACCGAGGUCUACAACUCCAAACUGAAUAAAUCCUCAAACCCUUCAAAAUAUAUGAUUAUGCCCAGUGAUCCCGCUUUUGCGGUCAGCAGGUCGCUUCUGUGACAUUCGCUUUUGCGGAAUUUAUCCUCUUUUGCUGAAAUGCCUUGCCUCAAAUAAAGUCGCUUCUGCGACAGUAUAUGCGCUUUUGCACUCGACAUCCCGCACCUGCGAUUGCGCAGGUGUGCCCAAAACAUCAGCUUCUGCGAUCCUCCCCUUCCAGCCUUGUUCUACAUCUGCGCCCCUUCUCCUACGCACCUAUGAUCAACGCACUUGCGCCUAGGGGUCUGCAGGUGAAACCACACCAGAACUCAGCCCAAACUAGUCUCACCCAAAAAUGCUCCAAUUUAUCUGAAGCUCGUCCGUAGCUCAUCCGAGCCCCUCGGUACCCCGUACGAAUAUACCAACAAGUCCUAUAACAUAAGACGAACUCGCUCGAGGUCUCAAAUCACAUCAAACAACGUAGAAACUAUAAAUCACACCACGAUCGAACUUAUAAAUUUCCAAAUCUUCUAACUUCUAAAACCCGCACCGAAACAUAUCGAAUCAACUUGGGAUGAUGCCAAAUUUUGUAUGCUAGUUCCAAAUGACAUAACAUAGCUAAUCCAACUCUCGGAAUCGCAUUCUGACCCCGAUAUCACCAAAGUCAACUCAUAGUUAAACCUCUCAGCCUUUCAAAACUUUAACUUUUUCAACUUCCGCCAAAAUGCAUCAAAUUACCCUACGGACCUCCAAAUCUGGACAUACGCCUAAGUCCAAAAUCACAAUACGAAGCUAUUAAAAUCAUCAAAUGGCCGUUUCGAAGUCGUCUACACAAAAGCCAAAUUCUGGUUAACUCUUUUCAUUUAAGCUUCAAAAAUAAGAAUUAUUCUUUCAAUUAAAUACUGAAUCAUCUGAAAACUAAUCUCGAUCACACACGCAAGUCAUAAUAUAUAUUACGAAAAUUCUCGAGACCUUAAGUUGCCGAACAGAGUGCUAAUUCCUAAAAUGACCGUUCGAGUCAUUACAAUCAGCAAUGAUCUUUAUGAGGGCUAGGGAUUAAACUUGGUUCUAAAGUUAUCAAGAGAGCAAAGUCUAGGGUAGUUCUGGACAGGAUAUAAAAUCAGGAAAUAAGUAAGAACAUGGAGUAGUUAAUUAGCUACUUAAACAUCUCGGGUCAGUAAUGACCUUAUGCAGACAGGGGAAACCUUACACAUUUUAAGAGUCGGAUUAAGCAAAAGUUAUAGAUAAGGGAUGUGCAUUGCAUCAGGAUAAGUUUAACUCAAAACUUAAUACUAAGUUAAUAAUACAUGGAUACAAAGAUGAUCAAUGCUUCCUUUUUUACAAGUUAUUUCUUAGUUAGGUAGAGUAACUAGGUCCUUUAAAAGAUAAAAUGCAUGCCCGUUUUUCAAAGAUGCAUGAUGAUCUUAAAGAUGAGAGAUAGGAGAUAUGAUACCAAAUAAGCAUGUUGCCGAGGGUGUUGGCUAAUUAAGAAAACAGUUAAGUUCAGUCUAACCAAUUAUCAGUCUUUAUAACAAAGAGAAAGGAACGGAAUUAUGAUCACAUUAUGAUGAAAGAUGACAUAGGUUUAACAUGUGUGUACAAUAGGAUUACUAGGAGAAGAAAGGAGAAGUUUAGUUCAAACAAGUUUAGGUUAAAUAGAAAUACAAGCAACUAAACAAAUGAAAGACCAUAAUAGCAGCUUAGAAACAGUCUAACAGACAUAAGUAGGGAGGAUAGCAUAUAAACACUUAGAGUUCCUACUCAAGAUUUAAAGGAUAGAGGACAUAAACUUAACACCUUCAGAUUCAUUCUAUCAUAAUUAUCAGAAUAUAAGUUCAACUUCAAAAACUCAUAAGUUAUAUAGAUGCACCAUGCAAGAAUAAAAGUUAUUGCAUGCCAAUAAAAGCUAUAAGGUUCAUGUGAACAUGAACAUAUAACAACUUAAACAUGUAGGCUUUCAGGAAAUAAGAUCCGCAAGAAUCAAUUAUAUAGUUUAAUCAACCAUCGUUUAAAGACUCAUACCAAGACACCUAAUCACAAGUAGUCAUUAAACCAAUAAAGCACCAAUAUUAACAUAUUAAACACCAUAGAACAACUGUAAUAUAUAGAACCUAACUUAGCAUACUUGUAUCAUUCAAAGAAACGAACAAAACAGAAGAAUGGGAGAGGUGCUGGGCUUUUGAGAGCAACAAACCAAACGAGAGCUCUUUUCAAUUGCUUAAAACCCCAGAAACCUCAAAUUUAGACCAACGAUAGUACUCAGCAAAAAGAAAAGAAAAUAAUUAAGAAACCUAAGGCUUGGAAUCCUAAACCUCUCAAUGUUUGUGUGUGUGUUUCUCUUCAGUAUUAGAUAGUUGGUUCGUGAUGUUAGGUGAUCAUUUCUUCAGUGUUAGGUUAUGGUAGAUGAGAAUAUUAAAGGCUUCUAUUUAUAGUGCCAUUAAGGCUCUAGGGUUCAGAGAAUUCAAAAUAAUAGGGGAAAGUGACGACAAAUUGAUGAUGAUAGCAAGAUUGAGUGAAUUUGAAAGAACGCAGGGAAACAUAGUGAAGAUAUUUACUUGAGAAGGGAGAUUGAAUCGUUGAAGGCAGAGGACCAUCUGUUAAACUCUAUUGUCCAGAGGUUACCGAGUAUGACCUCUGGACAUCGAAUCGUCAUGAUGAACUCUGAGAAGGAACUCCAUGCAUGCUCCGAUUUGACAAAGCAUGAAGUAACAUCAAAGAUUUGAUGUUGCGUCUUUGGGUCUAGGGUUUUCAGGAUUUAGUGGUUUGAAUUUUGUAAUUGAAAAAGGAAUUUACAGCAGGAUUCACAGACUUAAAGAGGAAAGAGGUGAUUUAAGGCUUCGAUUUGAAAGAUCAUAGCAGAACUCAGGUGAUUUGAGCUUUCAUCUUUGAGUCUAGGGUUAAGCUUUGGGGAUUUCGAAUUUGUGUGAUGAAAUGGGGAUAAAAUCGGCGAGAUUCGCGGUUGGGGAAGACAUAAAGGAUAGAUUCAUGUUAGAUUUAUUGACGUUGCACGGAUUUGUGCAAGGUCGUGUGACUCAUGGAGGCUGGAGAGAUGAAAGACAGAAGAGAGAAAGGGGAAAGGGGAGGCAGUUGUGAAGAUGUAAAUGAAUUAGGAUUGCUAGGGUUAAACCGUUUGGUCUCU